GCUCAUACUGGUCAUUACAAUUCAGCUCAUUUUAGCAUGUCUCUGAAAUCUUACACCAAGUAAUCUAGCAAAUCUAAGAACUGCUUACAGUGCAUUUCACAUCUAGAAACUGUGAACAAGUACAAAGGACCUAAAAGACUGUAUUUACUUUUAAUUGUGAAUUUCGCUUCCCCUAUUUCUUGUCCUGUCUCAGGACACAAAUGUGUGAUGGGUCAAAUUAAUUUUUCAUAGCUAUGACACAAUGUGGAUGUCGGAAUCUGGGACUGCACAUGCUCAGACAACACAUCCUGUUGGGAAGACUGGUACAGUGGUUGAGCUUCAGUGGACUUCUGCCGCAGUACCCAGAUGCCAGUGAGUUGAAGCAGAUCUCUGAGAUGUGGCAGCAGUUGAACCAGCAGCACAAAACCACUUGUCUGGAAAUGAGAUGUGAUACUGAGGAUAAAUAUAGAGGGAACUCCAUUAUACAUGGUAUGGUGGCUCAUAUGCACAAACAAUAUGGGCCACUAUUGGUUUCAGAAGACUGCACCCACCAGACUUGCCCACCACCUUCACUACAAUCUCUUCUAAAGCUCAUACUGACCUCUUAUAUAGACACCACAUCUGCCCUAGCCAUUAUAAUGUAUUUUGUUUUGGACGUUUCUAACAUGCAGGGUAAAGGUGAUCUCCUUAAGUCUUUCUGCCAGACCUUUAGCAUACCAUCCAGCUUCUUCCAACAAAUCUAUGGGUUUUGGCUCCUAGACCAUGGCUUUGUAUCAGUAUGACAUCUUCUACCAUCAAGCUCAUAAAAUACUGAAUCUAUAAUUUGUAGUCUGUCUGGGAUAGACAGGAUCCUGUUACAAGUAGUGUUCUGGAACACAAUUCAUUUUCCCCCACAGAAUUCACUUGGAAAGCUUUUGAGCCCCAAGACCAGUUCAGGAAUGUUAUCAUGUCACAGUUAUGCUGUCUUGAGGACCUUGCUGAGACAGGGGCAGAGGGAAGCAGCACUGAAAUACCUCUACUACACUAAGCCUGCUAUAGAGAAUGCUCAGGAUGCCAGACUGUAUGUGGAUGUGCUCUUACAGAACAAGUACUGUAUAUGAAAAUGAAUCUUACUGACUGCCAUAGAAUUGGUGCCAUUAGGUGUCAUUAAAAGUAGGAUUUAAACCAUAUGGGUGUGGAAACCUUAUUAUAUUUCAGAAAAUAUAUAAUAGUGUGCCGUUUUAAGAUUUGGUCAAGUUUUCUCUUUCUGUGUCAUCUGGCCAUCGCAUUCUUUCAGCCAUGUUGGUGAAGCUCAGAUUCUGCUCAGGUGGUGCCAACCAGGAAAGGAAUAUCUACUUCACAAUUUCACAUGUGGCUGUGAAAAUCCCAGUCUCUGUGGGGAAAUACUGGCCAGUAAUAUUCCACAUCUCAAAUUAUCAGAGAGACCAUAUUCUACUAAACCUGAAAAAAUAAACCAAAGAAAUCUUGGUGAUACCGUUGCAAGAAAUACGUUUGUUGGAAACGGUUGGAAAAACUAAUUUUAUUCAAAUAUAGAGACUUCAUUAUUAUAAGGACAACUUUAAUACUCAAGAAAUCUUUUGCCCGUGGAUUACUUAGUAAAGUAAAUAUGUUCAUGUACAUGUACAAGUUAUAUUUUCUAAUAUUCUCAGGGCAUAUUCCUCAUCCAUUUUCUGCACUGCUCUACCAGUGUCUGUUUAAUGGCUCUCUAACUCCCGGAGAUUUUCUCAAAUUAUUUAGAGAAUCUGUGACAGAGCUUAACUCAUCAAAACAACACACAAGGCUGAUGGUGGUGUUGCCAACAUACAUAGAGAACAAUGAAGAUAACAGGAAUACUUCUCAGUCACCCGAGACAUUUUGUCAUUUAGCCUUACCUCCUAGUCCUGUAGAGCUCCAGAAGGAACAAAUGAAGUUGUUACAGAAUGAUAGAAUGGAGGUUUAUGUGUCUCCAGCAGAUGUCUCUCCUGGCUCCACAUCUGCAGACAGCAUGGAGUCUGCAUGCUCCUUCAUUACUUCCUCCUCUCCUUCAUUUCUUCCCCCUCUCCAGCAUUCGCUGAGCGGCAAUCACAUGCCAUCUAAAGAUGUUACGCAGUACUGUUCUCCUUUCACCCUCAUUGCAGGGUGCAGCUCAAAGGCAACGCUCAUCAAAAGCUUGUGCAAAGAAAGUGUACAUGAGCUGGUCAGCUCUGAGAACGAAGUGAUUGAUGAUAAGGUCACAGAGCCACAUUCAGAGAGCAUUAGGGCAGGAUAUGAGAGAGAACAGUUCCGUGUUUUAUCUUCUGAGAGUGUUUAUAUCCAAGACUCCAUUUGUGAUGAAGCUUCUGGAUCAAGCAGCUUUUUGGACCUGAAGCCUUUAAAAAGAGCACUGGAGCCUUACCCUCCAGUUAAGAAGAGCCUUGGGUCCUUCUGUUAUGAUCCUCAGAAUGUCACAGACCAGCCGGAGAUCCUCACUUCAUGUGCCCGUGCUGAGACUAUGCAGGAGCUUCUGGAGCAGGUCCAUGAUCAGGCCCUUAUAUUAAAGGCUGGGAAUCCCAAACAACCAUCAGUUUUAGAGUCUGUCAGGAGUUCCAAACUGUUAAUGGAUUUUAACCCAGUGUGGCCUGGCUCUCGUCCUCAUCAGCCUCAGCGUUCUCUUGGAACUUCAUUAUUACCACUGAGCCCCAUUGAGAAGACCAGAGACAAAGCAACCAGUGAGGGCAGAAAUGCAGGAAUUAAAGAGGUAGUGUGUUUUAGGACCACAUCAGAUCGAGUGGGUGACUAUAAACUGGGCAGCUGGUGGAAGCAGGCUCUGGAGACAAGAAGAGCCUCCACUGGAUUGCUGCCUGCUAUCGAGCAGGUGCCUGCUGUCACGAAAGAGAAAAGACACUCUCUUUUUCUAGGAUGGCCUCAGUCUCAUGGGCUUAUCAGAGGACUCAAACAAGAGGUUAUACAGGAAAAGGCUGCGGCUAGAGCCUUUCAUUAUGGACAGCAUUUGCUGUUUGAUUGUCCCAUAACCUCAGGCAUAGAUUAAUGGGAUCAGGAUAUUUUGGCACCAACUCCACCCACACAUGAACAGAGGAAAUGAAAUGCAGCACUAUGCUACAAAGGAUGAGUCAAGCAGAAAAGCUGAAGGGAAAAGGUGCAAACAGGUCAAACAAUUCUGAGAAAGAGUGAGAGUAAGAAAGGACAACAUCACUGAUACGUGGGAUUAAAAAAGCUUUCCAGUUCUGAUUUGCUUACCAUAUUUACCGUAUGUUGACUAAACAUUUGAAAACUGCAUUUUAAUAAACAGAAAAUCUUAAUAUCUGCCGUAGGUUUGCAUUGUUUAUUUUUUAAUCUCAUGUGACAAAUGAAUAUGAAUGACAUUUUAUGAUUCUGAAUGUGUAAUACUGUUGCUUAAUCAUGUCACAGGUUUGGAUUAAAUCAGUGUCAAAUAGAUUUAACAUGUUUGCUGUUCUUUAUUUCACAAUCCUGAUUUACAUAGUCCUGUUUUUUCUCCCAAACAAA